rnacentral:rRNA from 1 species
CAAUAGCGUAUAUUAAAGUUGUUGCAGUUAAAAAGCUCGUAGUUGGAUUUUGGGAUAGAGUGAACGGUCGCCGAAAGGUGUACUGGGCGUUCUGUCCUUCCUUCUGUAGACUGCGUCUGCUCUUAACUGAGUGGACGUUUGGAUGCAGAUUGUUUACUUUGAAUAAAUUAGAGUGUUCAAGGCAGGCAAUUGCUUGAAUACAUUAGCAUGGAAUAAUGGAAUAGGACUUUGGUUCUAUUUGUUGGUUUGAGGACCGAAGUAAUGAUUAAUAGGGAUAGUUGGGGGCAUUAAUAUUUAAUUGUCAGAGGUGAAAUUCUUGGAUUUAUGAAAGAUUAACUUCUGCGAAANCANNNGCCAAGGAUGUUUUCAUNAA